UACGUAGGGUGCAAGCGUUGUCCGGAAUUAUUGGGCGUAAAGCGUCCGCAGGUGGCUAUUCAAGUCUGCGGUCAAAGACUGGGGCUUAACCCUGGAAAGGCCGUGGAAACUGAAGAGCUAGAGUGCAGUAGGGGUAGAGGGAAUUCCCGGUGUAGCGGUGAAAUGCGUAGAGCUCGGGAAGAACAUCGGUGGCGAAAGCGCUCUGCUGGACUGCAACUGACACUCAGGGACGAAAGCUAGGGGAGCGAAUGGG
rnacentral:rRNA from 1 species